AUUGAACGCUGGCGGCAGGCCUAACACAUGCAAGUCGAACGAGUGGCGGACGGGGGAGUAAUGCCUGGGAAACUGCCGGAUGGAGGGGGAUAACUAAUGGAAACGGUAGCUAAGACCGCAUACCAUCAGAUGUGCCCAGAGGGGAAUAGCUUGGUGGUGGGGUAACGGCUCACCAAGGCGACGAUCCCUCGCUGGUCUGAGAGGAUGACCAGCCACCCUGGAACUGAGACACGGUCCAGACUCCUACGGGAGGCAGCAGGGGGGAAUAUUGGACAAUGGGCGAAAGCCUGAGGCAGCCAUGCCGCGUGUAUGAAGAAGGCCUUCGGGUUGUAAAGUACUUUCAGCGGGGAGGCGUUACCGGCAGAAGAAGCACCGGCUAACUCCGUGCCAGCAGCCGCGGUAAUUC
rnacentral:rRNA from 1 species